GCACCCGUAGCUCAGCUGGAUAGAGCGCCUGACUACGAAUCAGGAGGCCGGGAGUUCGAAUCUCUCCGGGUGUACCA
rnacentral:tRNA from 1 species